UCCAACAUCUCCUCAGCGAAAUUGAAUUCUCCGUGAAGAUGCGGAGUACCCGCGGCCAGACGGAAAGACCCUAUGAACCUUUACUAUAGCUUUGCAGUGGCAUUAGAGGUGACAUGUGUAGAAUAGGUGGGAGACUUUGAAACCGGGACGCCAGUCUUGGUGGAGUCGCAAUGUGAAAUACCACCCUUGUUAUCUCUGAUGUCUAACCGGAACAGUUAUCCUGUUUCGGGACCCUGCAUGGUGGGUAGUUUGACUGGGGCGGUCGCCUCCUAAAUUGUAACGGAGGCGCGCAAUGGUCGGCUCAACCUGGUCGGAAAUCAGGUUUAGAGUGUAUUGGCAUAAGCCGGCUUAACUGCAAGACUGACAAGUCGAGCAGAUACGAAAGUAGGUCAAAGUGAUCCGGUGGUUCCGAAUGGAAGGGCCAUCGCUCAACGAAUAAAAGGUACUCUAGGGAUAACAGGCUGAUACCACCCAAGCGUCCACAGCGACGGUGGUGUUUGGCACCUCGAUGUCGGCUCAUCUCAUCCUGGGGCUGGAGCAGGUCCCAAGGGUAUGGCUGUUCGCCAUUUAAAGAGGUACGUGAGCUGGGUUCAGAACGUCGUGAGACAGUUCGGUCCCUAUCUACCGUGGGUGUUGGAAUAUUGAGAGGAGCGGACCCUAGUACGAGAGGACCGGGUUUGACGUACCUCUGGUAGACCAGUUGUCGUGCCAACGGCAUAGCUGGGUAGCUACGUACGGACGAGAUAAACGCUGAAAGCAUCUAAGCGUGAAACUCACCUCAAAACAAGUAUUCCCUGAGAGUCGUCGAAGACUACGACGUUGAUAGGCCAGAUGUGUAAGGGUAGUGAUACCCUCAGCUUACUGGUACUAAUAGCUCGAUCGGCUUGAAUCAUUACCACGCG
rnacentral:rRNA from 1 species